rnacentral:lncRNA from 1 species
AGAAAAAUUAGUAGAGCAAGUCAGAUGGAAGAAUCUUCUUUGUUCCAAAUUCACGGGGCCUUGAUGGAUUCACACGGUCAUAGAUGAUAAGAGUUGAAAACCAUUUUGUUGGUCCACCAACCAUAACCAAUACAAUAGACAACACUAGAGUUACUAUAAUACCCUAACCUUUUACUCCUUUUGGCUGUAACUUCUAACACAAAACUUUAACACACCAUCUCUUUCUUAGCUUCCAUCAACUAAAACUGUGGUUGCAUUCUCUGGACCACAUCCAGCACGGAAAACUUCUAAUACAACCUCUUAAAAUUUCACUACAUAUUAUAUUUAGCAAUUUGCAGAUCAUCAAAAUCAAUGAAUCAAAAAUCAAGUGCAUUAAUACGAUGGAUGUAGUCAAUCCUCUCUUUCUUACUUCUCCUCUUGUCGCUCUCCCCAAUGUGACUAAUUUUUAGUUGGACCAGAUCCACCGGUGAGUUAGUGGAUCUUGAAAUGGUCAUUAUAUGAUCCAAUAGUAGUUCGUGCGAAGAAAGAUGAAUUAUUAUUUUGCACGAAAAAUAAUAGACAACUGGCUAUUUUUCUUCUUUCCUCUAUCAUAUCACCCAUUCUUGUUUCGACUUCUUCGUCCACAACCAAGCUUCACCAUCACCCUC